GGGAAUCUACCGUGCCCUGCGGAAUAGCUCCGGGAAACUGGAAUUAAUACCGCAUACGCCCUACGGGGGAAAGAUUUAUCGGGGUAUGAUGAGCCCGCGUUGGAUUAGCUAGUUGGUGGGGUAAAGGCCUACCAAGGCGACGAUCCAUAGCUGGUCUGAGAGGAUGAUCAGCCACAUUGGGACUGAGACACGGCCCAAACUCCUACGGGAGGCAGCAGUGGGGAAUAUUGGACAAUGGGCGCAAGCCUGAUCCAGCCAUGCCGCGUGAGUGAUGAAGGCCUUAGGGUUGUAAAGCUCUUUCACCGGAGAAGAUAAUGACGGUAUCCGGAGAAGAAGCCCCGGCUAACUUCGUGCCAGCAGCCGCGGUAAUACGAAGGGGGCUAGCGUUGUUCGGAAUUACUGGGCGUAAAGCGCACGUAGGCGGAUAUUUAAGUCAGGGGUGAAAUCCCAGAGCUCAACUCUGGAACUGCCUUUGAUACUGGGUAUCUUGAGUAUGGAAGAGGUAAGUGGAAUUCCGAGU
rnacentral:rRNA from 1 species